CCUACGGGAGGCAGCAGUGGGGGAUAUUGCACAAUGGGGGGAACCCUGAUGCAGCGACGCCGCGUGGGUGAAGAAGCGCCUCGGCGCGUAAAGCCCUGUCAGCAGGGAAGAAAAUGACGGUACCUGAAGAAGAAGCCCCGGCUAACUACGUGCCAGCAGCCGCGGGAAUACGUAGGGGGCAAGCGUUAUCCGGAUUUACUGGGUGUAAAGGGGGCGCAGACGGCGAUGCAAGCCAGGAGUGAAAGCCCGGGGCCCAACCCCGGGACUGCUCGUGGAACUGCGUGGCUGGAGUGCAGGAGGGGCAGGCGGAAUUCCUGGUGUAGCGGUGAAAUGCGUAGAUAUCAGGAGGAACACCGGUGGCGAAGGCGGCCUGCUGGACUGCAACUGACGUUGAGGCCCGAAAGCGUGGGGAGCAAACAGGAUUAGAUACCCCAGUAGUC
rnacentral:rRNA from 1 species